UACGGGGGGGGUAAGCGUUGUUCGGAAUUACUGGGCGUAAAGGGCUCGUAGGCGGCCAACUAAGUCAUACGUGAAAUCCCUCAGCUUAACUGGGGAACUGCGUGUGAUACUGGAUGGCUUGGAUUUGGGAGAGGGAUGCGGAAUUCCAGGUGUAGCGGUGAAAUGCGUAGAGAUCGGGAGGAACACCGGUGGCGAAGGCGGGACUCUGGGCCUACCCUGACGCUGAGGCGCGAAGGCGUGGGGAGCAAACGGG
rnacentral:rRNA from 1 species